UACGUAGGGUGCAAGCGUUGUCCGGAAUUAUUGGGCGUAAAGAGCUCGUAGGCGGUUUGUCGCGUCGGCUGUGAAAACCCGAGGCUCAACCUCGGGCCUGCAGUCGAUACGGGCAAGCUAGAGUGCGGUAGGGGAGACUGGAAUUCCUGGUGUAGCGGUGAAAUGCGCAGAUAUCAGGAGGAACACCGGCGGCGAAGGCGGGUCUCUGGGCCGUAACUGACGCUGAGGAGCGAAAGCGUGGGGAGCGAACAGG
rnacentral:rRNA from 1 species